rnacentral:rRNA from 1 species
GUUUAACGGCCGCGGUAUCCUAACCGUGCAAAGGUAGCGCAAUCAAUUGUCCCAUAAAUCGAGACUAGUAUGAAUGGCUAAACGAGGUCUUAACUGUCUCUUGCAGGCAAUCGGUGAAAUUGAUCUCCCUGUGCAAAAGCAGGGAUAAACCCAUAAGACGAGAAGACCCUGUGGAACUUUAAAAACAGCAGCCACCCCAAACAACACAACCCCCCACCGGGCCCACUCACACACAAGCCACUGGCCUGCAUUUUUUCGGUUGGGGCGACCUUGGAGAAAAACAAAUCCUCCAAAAAUUAGACCACACCUCUAAACCAAGAGCAACCCCUCGACGUGCUAACAGCAACCAGACCCAAUAUAAUUGACCAAUGGACCAAGCUACCCCAGGGAUAACAGCGCAAUCUCCUUUAAGAGUCCAUAUCGACAAGGAGGUUUACGACCUCGAUGUUGGAUCAGGACAUCCUAGUGGUGCAGAAGCUACUAA